rnacentral:rRNA from 1 species
CGCGAUUCGCCCUUCGGGGUGCACCAGGCGCGAAAACUUUACAAUGCCGGCAACGGCGAUAAGGGAACCUCGAGUGCCAGGUUACAAAUCUGGCUGUCGUGAUGCCUAAAAAGCAUUGCAUAGCAAGGGCCGGGCAAGACCGGUGCCAGCCGCCGCGGUAACACCGGCGGCUCGAGUGGUAACCGUUAUUAUUGGGUCUAAAGGGUCUGUAGCCGGCCGGGUAAGUCUCUUGGGAAAUCUGGCAGCUUAACUGUCAGGCUUUCAGGAGAUACUGCCUGGCUCGAGGCCGGGAGAGGUGAGAGGUACUUCAGGGGUAGGGGUGAAAUCUUGUAAUCCUUGAAGGACCACCAGUGGCGAAGGCGUCUCACCAGAACGGACCUGGCGGCAAGGGACGAAAGCUAGGGGCACGAACCGGAUUAGAUACCCGGGUAGUCCUAGCCGUAAACGAUACUCGCUAGGUGUCGGCCACGGUGCGACCGUGGUCGGUGCCGUAGGGAAGCCGUGAAGCGAGCCACCUGGGAAGUACGGCCGCAAGGCUGAAACUUAAAGGAAUUGGCGGGGGAGCAC